rnacentral:rRNA from 1 species
UGGGGAAUUUUGGACAAUGGGGGCAACCCUGAUCCAGCAACGCCGCGUGAAUGAAGAAGGCCUUAGGGUUGUAAAGUUCUUUUACAUGGGAGCAAGUUUAGUAGGUUAAGAGCUGAUUAAAUUGAGAGUACCAUGAGAAUAAGCACCGGCUAACUACGUGCCAGCAGCCGCGGUAAUACGUAGGGUGCGAGCGUUAAUCGGAAUUACUGGGCGUAAAGGGUGAGUAGGCGGAUGUACAAGUUAGAUGUG